UUUGAAGCUAGAGGUGUCAG
rnacentral:sRNA from 1 species